rnacentral:lncRNA from 1 species
UAAACCUUGAACAAAGAAGCAGCUAUGAAGUGCACUUUCUUGAUGUCUGCAUGAGAGUUACUGGAAGCUCCUUUGAGACAAAUGUAUAUAGGAAACCCAGCUCCACACCGAUAAUAAUAUCAGAAUGGUCGCCAGACAGAUGGCACCACAAAAAAGCUGCCCUAAGAUUGUUUAUAGAAAGAGCGCUUACCCACUGCAGUGAAACCGUAUUAUUUAAGAAUGAAAUAAACAAAAUAAAAAAGAUAGCAACAAACCAUGAUUACAGAGAAACCUUAAUAAAUAAACUUGUGAGGGAGGAGAAAGCCAAGUGGAGAAACAAGG